UUAGCCCAUGGCGGUGCUCUGUCCUGGAUUGGGUUAACGUGAGGUCCUGCUUCAUCGACGGGGAUUCGUUGCCGGCAUCAUUUUGCCCAAUUUUUUUCCCUCUUCCUUUUCCUGUUUCUGGGGUGAGGGUGCCGCCUCUUUUUGAUUCUUCUCCGUGUCGUCAGUGGUGGGCUGAUGGCCAGUGCUCGGCUUUGGUUGAGGUCAGCGCGCCUGUUUCUUUAGAUUUUUUUCCGCUCGCAGACCCGCCAAUGGCCACGCUCCUGCUUGGUUUCUUUUUGCCUAAUUUUGUUUCUUUUUUGUACGUAUUUCUGGAGGUUAGGGGUACUGCCUCUAUUCGUUUCUUUUGUUUUUGCCUAAUUUUAUUUCUGGAUUAGGGUGCAGGGCGCCAUGAGCGGGCGGUUGAGCAGCUGCAAGAUGCCAUGUGUGUGGCGGCUGAUGCAGGAAAAGGAGCAGGCGAGGGAGGAUGAGGAUUUGCCGGCCGGCCGGCCGGAGGCCACGGUGUACCGUACAGCGACGGAAGGGCAGCCAUGGACCGAUGGGCGGUCGGUUGGGCGGCGCGCGAGAAUCUGCAUGCAGCUCACACUUUCCCACUCUCGCUGGCACCUCUCUCUCUGAUCUGGCCAUACCAUAGUGCUGCAAUGUUUCUAUAGAGAAGCAUCAGGACCAGAAGUGAAAAAAAUCCUUCAGCUGCACCGCAUCAGCAAGUUUGGAGACAGAUCAAGGGUCAAGGUCUGAGUGUUGGGAAACGCCACAAGAAGGGGAUUUGCAGGAUGAAGGUGACCACGAGCAUAGGAUGAUUCUGUUGCACACUACCUGUUUGAUGAAAUGCAGGACACAUACCAAGUACCACAGUGCGUGUAAUCGUGGGCCUAUAUGAAGGCGCUCCUCGGGCUGCUUGAGUGCAUCCUGUAGUGGUGAGGUCGAUAUCCUGGUCUGGGGUGAGUACCACGGCGACGUGCCACGUCCAUGCAGGUCGGCUGGGCAGCAGCAUUUUCCGCGGGUGAUGGCAAGGGUGGCUUGGGGUCCAUGUUCAGGGGCUCGGUUGAUGAGAACACCAUCAUGCCCGGCACCGGUCACAACCAUGGCCAUCAAGAAGCUCAAAUAGGAACAGGAUGCUUGUAUUUUUUACCACUACGAAUCUUCUUAACAAAAUCAAUUUCUUAUUGAAUUUUCCAAAUAAUUUGCUAUCAAAUAUGUUCUCUGUUUUUCUGAAGCAAAUGUGCAACCUGAAUGGAACUGGCUCAGAUGAUGAGACCACUGUUGAGCCACGACACCGGGAUGGUAAUCUUCAUG